AACGGUCUAUACCUGCGGUACCUGCGGAAGGAUCAUUACCGAGUUAUCAACUCCCAAACCCCUGUGAACAUACCCGAACGUUGCCUCGGCGGGACCGCCCCGGCGCCCCUAGCGGCCCGGAACCAGGCGCCCGCCGGAGGACCCAAACUCUUGCUUUAAACAGUGGCAUACUCUCUGAGUCUCACAAACAAAAAGUAAAUCAAAACUUUUAACAAUGGAUCUCUAGAUCGGAAGAGCACA
rnacentral:misc_RNA from 1 species